rnacentral:rRNA from 1 species
UACGUAGGGUGCGAGCGUUGUCCGGAAUUACUGGGCGUAAAGGGCUCGUAGGUGGUUUGUCGCGUCGUCUGUGAAAUUCCGGGGCUUAACUCCGGGCGUGCAGGCGAUACGGGCAUAACUUGAGUACUGUAGGGGUAACUGGAAUUCCUGGUGUAGCGGUGAAAUGCGCAGAUAUCAGGAGGAACACCGAUGGCGAAGGCAGGUUACUGGGCAGUUACUGACGCUGAGGAGCGAAAGCAUGGGUAGCGAACAGGAUUAGAAACCCCGGUAGU